rnacentral:misc_RNA from 1 species
UGAACCAAGGACACGUAGGAAGAAAGGAUUGAACAAGGAUAUUUAUUUUAUCAAGGAACGAUAUUUAACUUGAACAGUAUAACAGGAAUAUUCUUUACAGGAAUGGGAAUACUUUGAACAAUAUUUAGAUUAAUUUCCUAGGAUUUAAUAAUCUAGGUGCGGGGGAAAAACUAGACAGGCAGAGAGGCCGAAGCUCGGUCCGCGAUGCUGUUAAUCACCCUGGCUUGUGACUAUACCUCUUUAUAAAAUUGAGGGAUUUAUAUCAAACCUCUUAAUCGCGAUUGUAAACUGGAAGUUAAAGACUCUAUUUAUGUGACUCUAUUCAAGAAUAUGGAUGUUGUAAGCCGGACAGGCAGAAAGACCGAGGUACAAUCCGCGAUGCUGGUCAACCCGACCCUACAGACAAGUUAGGAAGCCGAGACAGGCAGAAAGACCGAGGUACGAUCCGCGAUGCUGGUCAACCAACUUGUAGAUCAAAAACUAUCGAGUGGAAAGUCAGAGACUGACCACUCUUGGUGGGGUAGAGCAC